GGAGGUGUAGCUCAGUGGUAGAGUGCUUGUCUAGCAUGCAUGAGGCCCUGGGUUCAAUCCCCGGCACUGCCA